rnacentral:tRNA from 2 species
AGGCACGUAGCUCAGUGGGAGAGCACCUGCCCGACACGCAGGGGGUCGGCGGUUCAAUCCCGCCCGUGCCUACCA